rnacentral:lncRNA from 1 species
UCCGAACUCUCCCCAAACACGUUCAACGCCAACUGCGUACUCUCAAAAUUCCAAAUCAAUCUCCUUCUCUCCAACCAACUCCAAACCUUCUAAUUCCCAAUCUCUAAUAUAGACUAAAUGGGGUAACAUAACCAAAAAUCAACUCAACUCUCAAUCAUAACCCUAGCAUGUAGACUAAACAUAAAACCUACAAAACUCACUUAAAGUUUUGGGUUUUUACCGUCUUUUCACCUUUCAUAAGGCUCAAUAAUGGCUCUUCUAGUUUUAGGUGAGGCCCCCUUCUCCUACCUCUCUCUUCUUCCUCGUCCUCUCCUUCUUACCUCUUCUUUUUCUCUUUCCUUUCUUCCCUUUCUUUCUUCUCAUCUUUCUUUAUCUCUCUGAUUUCGGUGUGUAUUGGGGUUUUUGUGUGUUGUAUAUUUGCUGAGAGGGAUUUAAUAUCCGUGCUGCUUUCCACCCUCUUAAUCUCGUGUUCUCCUUUCUUUCUCUUUUUAUUUGGUUAUUAUGAUGUUACCGUUCUACCUACUUAUUAGAGUUCGAACGCUACCCGUGUCGAACGCCCUUCCUAGAUCGAACGAACUUGAAGAAAACUGGGCAGGAAUUUAAAUUCAAGGAAUUUAGGUUUCGCGGUAUUACAGAGGAUUUGAUGCCGGACGGCAUCAAUGAUAAUCAAAAUAAAUAAUAGUAACCAUAAGGAAAAGGUGAGGGGAAAGUUUGACUUCCGUCAGAAUAAAAAAGAACGGGAGGGGGAAAGUUCGGCUUCCGCCAGAAUCAAAGGUUGGAGAGAAAAACAAUCGUUUUCUCUUUAUUCAUAAUAAUCAUCUCUUUUGCAAAUUGUAACCUACGUCUCUUUAAAUAGAGAAAAAUAACCUAAUCCUAUAAGGAAAUAAAACGAGCCCCUAAUGGGCAAUUACUAAUCAGGCCCAAUAGCCUAAACAAAUAAAAACCCUAAUUUACUUAAAAUAAAAAUAACCAACUAAUUAUAACAUACAAACAUAUAAUAAAUAAUACUUUAUUUUCUUUCCGCAUCAGGAUCAUAACUUUUAUAUCCUUUCCGAGUGGCAGAAUAACCAAUCAAGACACUCUAGUAGACGGAGGAUCCAACUUGCUAUGAGAGUGUUUGGAAACAUGUACAAAGCAAACAAAAACAAAAAUCUUGGGUGCAAGAGAGGAAAUAGAUGGGAUCGCUGAAAGAAUCUUCCACUUUAGAACACAGGAGGGCAUGCAAGUAAUAAGACCAUCAGCGGUAAGAACCUCACUCUAGAAGAACUUUAGGCAGAUUCGUAGUGAACAAGAAUACCAUUUUACAAAACCUCAGAUGAAUAGUGAUUAUUGGUUAUGGCUGCUCCAUUUUGUUCAGGAGUGAUAAUAACAUUUAAUAACAGCGACAACACUGAUAUCCAGAAAUAGAAGUGGUAUGGGAUAUGACGCCCAAGUAUCAAAAAUGAAUAAUCUGAGGGAGAACAAUUCUUUUAUAACAAGCUUCCCGUUUGGUGAUUAUUGGGUAGGCGCUCCAUGUUGUUUCAGGAGUGAUUAGAAACAUUUAAUACAGCGACAAACCACUGAUAUCCAGAAAUAUAAGUGGUAUGGGUCGACCCAAGUAUCAAAAAUGAAUAUAAUGAGGGGAAACAUUUUUUUAUUAUCAACAUGGUAAAAAACAAUGUUUAAUUGCUUCAAGUCACAAGCACCACAAACAAAACUACUCUAGUAGGGACAGCCUUUCAAUACCCCAUAGGUGGGUGACCAUAAUGUCAAUGCUACUGAUGUAUGAGUGAGGAACGCAGAAUCUUUCUGAAGUGCCUGACGAGAGGUUAAGGUUGGAAAGAGGAAGGAAAUGCAGACUCCAAACGCAGGCCACCAUGUACUUUUACUGCUGCCCAUUGUUCUUUCCAUAGGCAUUGUUAACAGCCACCAUGAUAGAAAAAAAGCAUUUAGAACACUUCAAAGAAACAAAAAAAGAUGAGAUCAUUUGUGGAAUCUUUCCCGAAAUUAUUUUAUCCGUACAGAGAAUGUGGUGUAAUGGGAAGCCAGAAUGGAGAAUAUUCCGAAGGCAAAAUCAAGACACAUAUCGAGAGCUAUCAUUAGAUGGCAUCCAAAGUCAGGCGUAUAGGGUCUUAUAUUAUUUUUCCAAGCUUAAAUGGAGUCUGAUGAUUAUUUUUUUUUGUUAAUUUCAUUGUUUGAGAUGUAAGUCGGAACUUUAAUUUUAGCCGUCUUUUUGUUAGUUUGGUCUUUGCUCUUUGUGAGAGUUGGUUGGUUAGUGUAUGCUAUAGCCUUUUUGUUAUCUCUUGUCCAAGACGGCCAGAGAGUCUUGUACAUGCACUUUUGAAUAUUGAAUACAUUUAUUCACCUGAUUCGGAAAAAAAAGAGUAUAAAAGGCAUGGAAAACAUGUAAUAUGAUUAUAGCAACUAGAGUGUAUGGUCCAAAAGAAUUGAAGAAGAUAGGCAUUAAGUGCGCUUGAAACAAACCUGUGUCAAGCUCUAAAGCUAGCUAUCAGGAUGCCUG